rnacentral:rRNA from 1 species
UGGGGAUAAUACCCCAUAGGCUAUGGAAGCUGGAAUGCUCUGUAGUUGAAAGGUCAGCCGCCUUAGGAUGGGUCUGCGGCCGAUUAGGUUGUUGUUGGGGUAACGGCCCAACAAGCCUGUAAUCGGUACGGGUUGUGGGAGCAAGAGCCCGGAGAUGGAUUCUGAGACACGAAUCCAGGCCCUACGGGGCGCAGCAGGCGCGAAAACUUUACAAUGCGGGAAACCGUGAUAAGGGAACUCCGAGUGCCCGUUAAAUCGGGCUGUCCACCAGUUUAAAAAACUGGUGAAGAAAGGGCCGGGCAAGACCGGUGCCAGCCGCCGCGGUAAUACCGGCGGCUCGAGUGGUGGCCACUAUUACUGGGCUUAAAGCGUUCGUAGCUGGUUUGUUAAGUCUCUGGGGAAAUCUUCCGGCUUAACCGGAAGGCGUCUCAGGGAUACUGGCAGACUAGGGACCGGAAGAGGUGAGGGGUACUCCAGGGGUAGGAGUGAAAUCCUGUAAUCCUUGGGGGACCACCUGUGGCGAAGGCGCCUCACCAGGACGGCUCCGACAGUGAGGGACGAAAGCUGGGGGAGCAAACCGGAUUAGAUACCCGGGUAGUCCCAGCCGUAAACGAUGUGCGUUAGGUGUAUCGGUGACCACGAGUCACCGAGGUGCCGAAGAGAAAUCGUGAAACGUACCGCCUGGGAAGUACGGUCGCAAGGCUGAAACUUAAAGGAAUUGGCGGGGGAGCACC